GGGAUUGUGGCUCAGUGGUAUAGCGCUCGCCUAGCAUGUGUGAGGCCCUGGGUUUGAUCCUCAGCACCACCU
rnacentral:tRNA from 1 species